rnacentral:rRNA from 1 species
GAUGAACGCUGGCGGCGUGCCUAAUACAUGCAAGUCGAGCGAACAGACGAGGAGCUUGCUCCUCUGACGUUAGCGGCGGACGGGUGAGUAACACGUGGAUAACCUACCUAUAAGACUGGGAUAACUUCGGGAAACCGGAGCUAAUACCGGAUAAUAUAUUGAACCGCAUGGUUCAAUAGUGAAAGACGGUUUUGCUGUCACUUAUAGAUGGAUCCGCGCCGCAUUAGAUAGUUGGUAAGGUAACGGCUUACCAAGGCAACGAUGCGUAGCCGACCUGAGAGGGUGAUAGGCCACACUGGAACUGGGACACGGUCCAGACUCCUACGGGAGGCAGCAGUAGGCAAUCUUCCGCAAUGGGCGAAAGCCUGACGGAGCAACGCCGCGUGAGUGAUGAAGGUCUUCGGAUCGUAAAACUCUGUUAUUAGGGAAGAACAAAUGUGUAAGUAACUAUGCACGUCUUGACGGUAACUAAUCAGAAAGCCACGGCUAACUACGUG